GUAGGGAAUAUUGGACAAUGGGCGAAAGCCUGAUCCAGCCAUGCCGCGUGAUAGAUGAAGGCCCUCUGGGUUGUAAAUAUCUUUUAUCUGGGAAGAAACUCCUCUAUUCUUAGAGGCCUGACGGUACCAGAGGAAUAAGCACCGGCUAACUCCGUGCCAGCAGCCGCGGUAAUACGGAGGGUGCAAGCGUUAUCCGGAUUCACUGGGUUUAAAGGGUGCGUAGGCGGGUUGAUAAGUCAGUGGUGAAAGCUCCGGGCUUAACUUGGAAACUGCCAUUGAUACUGUCAGACUUGAAUGUCGUAGAGGUAAGCGGAAUGUUGCAUGUAGCGGUGAAAUGCUUAGAUAUGUUACAGAACACCAAUUGCGAAGGCAGCUUACUAUGCGAUAAUUGACGCUGAGGCACGAAAGCGUGGGGAGCAAACAGGAUUAGAUACCCCUGUAGUCC
rnacentral:rRNA from 1 species